rnacentral:rRNA from 1 species
UACGUAGGUGGCAAGCGUUGUCCGGAUUACUGGGCGUAAAGAGCGCGCAGGCGGUCGUUCAAGUCGCGUGUGAAAGCCCCCGGCUCAACUGGGGAGGGUCACGCGAUACUGAUCGACUCGAAGGCAGGAGAGGGUAGUGGAAUUCCCGGUGUAGUGGUGAAAUGCGUAGAUAUCGAGAGGAACACCUGCGGCGAAGGCGGGUUGCUGGGCUGACACUGACGCUGAUUGUGCGAAAGCUAGGGGAGCGAACGGG